UUGGAGGGCAAGUCUGGUGCCAGCAGCCGCGGUAAUUCCAGCUCCAAUAGCGUAUAUUAAAGUUGUUGCAGUUAAAAAGCUCGUAGUUGAAUUUCGGAAUCCAUCCGUCGGUCGGGCUUCACGGUCCGCACUGGUGUGAUGGAUUCCUACCUUCUGAAUAACCAGCAUGCUAUUAAUUUGGUGCGUUGGGGAAGCAGGACUGUUACCUUGAAAAAAUUAGAGUGCUUAAAGCAGGCUAGUGCCUGAAUACAUUAGCAUGGAAUAAUGAAAUAGGACGGCAUGGUUCUAUUUUGUUGGUUUCUAGGAUCACCGUAAUGAUUAAUAGGGAUAGUUGGGGGCAUUAGUAUUCAAUUGUCAGAGGUGAAAUUCUUGGAUUUAUUGAGGACUAACUACUGCGAAAGCAUUUGCCAAGGAUGUUUUCAUUAAUCAAGAACGAAAGUUAGGGGAUCGAAGACGAUCAGAUACCGUCGUAGUCUUAACCAUAAACUAUGCCGACUAGGGAUCGGAUGAUGUUAAUUUUUUAAUGACUCAUUCGGCGCCUUACGGGAAAC
rnacentral:rRNA from 1 species